CUCUCUUCUCCUUUCUUUUCCCUCCUAAAAAAAACCCAAAUCGACAGAGAGACGCCAUGGCGAUUCAGUUCUAGCUAGCUAGGUCUUCCUCCCGAUUCCCCUUCCCUCUCGGCCGGCUUGGACUGCCGCGCCAGCUGCUCGCCGCCGCGUCUGACCCGCGUGCCGCCGCCGGCCCCUUCCCGCGCCGCACCCGAGAGAACCCUAGCGCCCACUUCCUCCCCGAUGGACGAGCACCAGGCCGGGGAUCUCGUCAAGGAGCUCGUCCUCCGCCUCGUCCCCGCCGACUCCGGCGGCGCGCUGCGGUUCGCGCACCGGCUGCUCUCCAGCCGCCUCGCCCCGGCCGUCCUCCCCGACGAGCACGCGCUGGCGGAGUCCGUCAAGCGCCGCCUCGCCGCCUCCGGCCGCCCCGACGACGCGCUCGCCUUCGCCGAACUCCACUCCAAGCUCUCCGCCCGGUCCCGCCCCGCCUCCCUCUGGCCGCUCCUCUACCUGCUCGAUUCGCUCUCCUCCCACCGCCGCGGGGCCGCCUCCUGCCUCCCCGACCUCCCCACCGCCGCGCCGCCGAGGCAGGCCUCGCGGGCGCCCGGCACGCCGGCCGGCGGCGUGGCGCUCGUCUCCAAGGACCCGGACAACAUCCGCGAGAUCGCGCUGCGGGAGUACACCGAGCUGGUGCUCGACGAGACGGAGGUGUCAGAGGCCACGCUGGUGCGCGACGUGCUCUACGCCUGCCAGGGCAUCGACGGACGCUACGUUCGGUACGACAAGGCCAGCGACACCUACGACCUGCCCGCCGGAGUCCACGUGCCCAGCUCCACUCGCACCCUGGUACGCAAGCUGUGCGAGGUCGGCUGGCUGUUCCGCAAGGUGCGAGGCUUCGUUUCCGACAAUGUGAGCCGCUUGCCCUCUCAUGCCGCCGCCGAGGUCGGCACUGUUGCUCAGGCCUUCUGCUCAGCUCUACAGGAGGAACUGUCUGAUUACUAUAAGCUGCUUGCAGUUCUAGAGUCGUACUCGUUGAACCCGAUCCCAACACCUGGGUCUGAUUCGGGUGUGUCAGGUAAUUACCUCUCGCUGCGGCGUCUUGUUGUGUGGCUUGCUGAGCCUGCGGUGAAAAUGCGCUUGAUGGCUGUCUUGGUGGAUGGAUGCCGUGGUUUGAGAGGUGGUGGAAUGGCUGGUGCGAUCCACGGGCACGCACAGCAUGGGGAUCCCAUGGUUCAAGACUUCAUGGGCCGCUUGCUGCGGCGAGUCUGCUCACCACUCUUUGAAAUGGUCCGAAGCUGGGUGCUUGAAGGUGAAUUGGAGGAUGUAUUUGGCGAGUUCUUCAUUGUUGGGCAGCCAGUUAAGGCUGAAUCUUUGUGGCGGGAGGGCUACCUUAUUCAGUCUGAUAUGCUACCGAGUUUCAUUUCUCCGGUGCUGGCACAAAGGAUCCUUAGAACAGGGAAGUCAAUCAACUUUCUCAGAGUUUGCUGUGAUGAUAAUGGUUGGGCUGAGGCUGCCACUGAGGCUGCAGCCUAUGUUGGCACCACAACAAGUCGAGGUGGGCUUGGUUAUGGGCAGAUUGAUGCUUUGGAGGCAUUGGUGGUAGAAGCAGCCAAGAGGAUUGAUCAACGUUUGAUGGACGUGAUUCAUAAGCGAUACCGAUUUAAAGACCAUUGUCUUGCUAUCAAGAGGUAUUUGCUUCUUGGGCAGGGUGAUUUUGUUCAGUAUCUGAUGGAUGUUGUUGGUCCUGAGUUGUCAGAACCAGCCAAUAGAAUUAGCCCCUUCCACCUUGCUGGCUUGCUUGAAACUGCAAUACGUGCAUCUGACGCACAAUAUGAUGACCGUGACAUCUUGGACCGGAUAAAAGUAAAGAUGAUGGAUCACGGAGAUGGUGAUGUUGGCUGGGAUGUCUUCUCCUUGGAGUAUGAUGCUAGGGUCCCUCUGGACACGGUGUUCACAGCUUCAGUCAUGAAGAUGUACCUCAAGAUAUUCAACUUCCUAUGGAAGCUUAAGCGUGUUGACCAUUCUCUGACCGGAGUCUGGAAGACAAUGAAGCCUAAUUGCAUUGUUUCUUCUCCAUUUUACAAGGAAGGGACAAGCAUCAGGGCUCAGUUUGUUUCAGUUCUUCGGAAAUGCCAAGUUCUGUUUAAUGAAAUGAACCAUUUUGUGACCAACUUCCAGUACUACAUUAUGUUUGAGGUCCUAGAGGUUUCCUGGGCUCGUUUUUCAGAAGAAAUGGAUGCAGCAAAAGAUUUAGACGAUCUUCUCAUGGGACAUGAUAAGUAUCUCACUUCAAUUGUGGAGAAGUCUCUCCUGGGUGAGCGGUCCCUGGGAAUUUUGAGAAAUCUUUUUGCCUUGUUUGACAUCAUAUUACAGUUCCGCAGCCAUGCUGAUAGGUGGUUUGAACGGAUAUACGAGUUGCAACUAAGGGGAAAGAGUAAACCGAAAACAAAAUCCAAGGAAACAGGUUCAUGGCUGGAGGGGGGCAGAAAAGCCAUGAUUCAACUCGCAGGGGAACUAUUUCGGAAAAUGGGUGAAGAUUUGGAUAGCAUUGCGAAAGAUUAUACAGCUUCUCUCGACUCAUUUAUCUCCCAGUUGCCCCUGCAGCAACACGUUGAUUUGAAGUUCCUUCUCUUUCGUUUGGACUUCACUGAAUACUACAGCCGUGUUUCGUCCAACAAAUGAAAUGAGUGUGUGCUUCUAAUGCGGAAGAAAUAGGUGUUAGAUACACUUUUUGGUUGGGGCUCAUGAAAAAACUGAUGAAGCAACACUCUAAAAUCCAGGAUGUACAUGAACAGUUGAAAAGGAAGUUAUGAUCUCAAAGCUAAGCCUAAUGAUGAAAGUGUAUCAGUUAUGUCAUCUGACGCACAGAUUGUUGAUUGGCAAGGAAAUGAUUAUCUUUCUAAUUUCUAAAUAUAUACUCCCUCUGUCAGGAAAUACUUCCAUUUUUAUCCAUUUCUCCGAUAAGUAUUUUCGGAUGGAGUAUUUUGUUAGUACUACUCAAGUAUUGUAUGUUACUUCCUUUCUGAGAGUUGCUGUUUUCCUCACAUUUUGCAUGAAUCCCUUCCAACCAGUACAUGAAAUGGAGGAGCAUCUCAAGGGGAAAGUGAAAGAAAGGAAUCAAAUAAUAGCAGAUGAAAAUCAGAAGCUGCACGCAUUGAGGUGAACUGCAGUGCCUUGAACCUAGAGAAAAGAAAGUAGAGGCAAUGAUCGCUGAGGCUUCGAAUUUGUGUUCGGAAGCUGCUUCAGUAAGGACUGCUGCCACAGCAGAACAGCAGAAGAUUCACGCAAAAUUCAACAACAUUGUGAAGGCGUUCAACACCUACAUGGAUAGCGUUGGCCCUUUCCUCGAGCAAGUCUAGGAGAUUGGCAGGCCAGCAGCUGAGGAUUUCUGAUCGAAUGAUCCAGUUUGCUGUUUCCGAAUGUGGAGGCAACUGGCAGGGGAUGGAGCCUCUGUUCCCGACCCAUCUGCCGCCGUCACAACAAAAACCACGUCCAGAGCCAGUGCAAUGAGCAAGAAGUCGAGGGCUCGGAAAAGGACAUGAGCUGUGGUUCUUACCAGUGCAUGGAGGGAAAACCCAGUAAAUAUCUCUGUUUAUGUGGGCAUGGUGCUGUAGUGGUGCCUCUAGCUGCUAUUUAUGCGCUGGUUCGGUUCGGGGCUAGUUAUUGAUCGAGAUACGAUGGCUUUGUCGUCUUACCGAUACAAUUGGAACCUGACACUCUUCUUUCGUUGGGCAAAGUGAGGGAUUUAUGUCUAUACUUCAAACAUCAUCAUGCAUUAUAUUAGAACCAACUUCUGAAUUCCUGAAACUGAAUUUGGAACCACACAUAAUUUAUACUUCAUCACAUCCAGAAUGCUUGAUGCUAUUAUUUCUGGUAGGGAUGAAGUUUUCUCCAGCCACUUUUGGCAACAUUUCUUC